AUGUAAGUAUCAAUUUCCAUGUUUGAAUAGCUUAUUCUGUAUAUGUUAUCUUCAUUAUGGUGUCCCCCCUCUCCCUCUUCUCUCUCUCCUCCUCUUAAGGUUUUAUGACAAAUCCAUGAGCACAAGUUUUUCAUGCCCCAUCUUUAGUAUUGAAUGUACUCUUUCUUGCACCUCAUUCUUCCACUUGUUAUCCAAACUAUGCCGCACCUUUAGUAUUGAAUGUACUCUUUCUUGCACCUUAUUCUUCCGCAUAUUAUCUAAACUAUCAAUUUUUUCCCAUGCAUUAUCUUCACUUUUUUAAACCUAUUGGUAAGUUUGUGCCCCGAUGCUUUUGUUAAUGCUCUUAUUUCUAUGCUGUUUUAACUGUUAUAUGAAGAGUGAUAAAUAGCUAUCCUUUUCUCCUUCUCUUUUAGGUGGCAAUGGACUAUUUUGAUUUAUUUUCUUAUUCUUUUUAUUGUCUAUUUAUUAGAAAGACUUUUUCCCUUUCAAUUUACCUGUGGAUAG
rnacentral:lncRNA from 1 species